rnacentral:tRNA from 1 species
GACCUGGGACGAUGCCGGAACGUGCUCCUGAAAAGCGGAAGGUCGCCGGUUCGAUCCCGGCCCUGGCCACCA